rnacentral:rRNA from 1 species
CAGUAGCCGCGGUAAUACGUAGGGUGCGAGCGUUAAUCGGAAUUACUGGGCGUAAAGCGUGCGCAGGCGGUGAUGUAAGACAGAUGUGAAAUCCCCGGGCUCAACCUGGGAACUGCAUUAGUGACUGCAUCGCUGGAGUGCGGCAGAGGGGGAUGGAAUUCCGCGUGUAGCAGUGAAAUGCGUAGAUAUGCGGAGGAACACCGAUGGCGAAGGCAAUCCCCUGGGCCUGCACUGACGCUCAUGCACGAAAGCGUGGGGAGCAAACAGGAUUAGAUACCCCUGUAGUCCCUGUCUCUUAUAC